CGCCGGGCGCCGUGGCUCACGCCUGUAAUCCAACACUUUGGGAGGCUGAGGCGGGCGGAUCACUUGAGGUCAAGAGUUCAAGACCAGCCUGGCCAACAUGGUGAAACCCCAUCUCUACUAAAAAUACAAAAAUUAGCCAGGUGUGGUGGCGGGUGCCUGUAGUCCCAGCUAUUUGGGAGGCUGAGGCAGGAGAAUCGCUUGAAUCCAGGAGGUGGAGGUUGCAGUACAAUUCUACUCUAAAAGUCACCAGGAAAAAUUCAGCUCCACUGGUCCGGGCUCUAAGUCUACUAGCAAAAUCUUCCAGAGAAGUGGAAAAGCCAUCAGCCAAUGUGUUAGACUAUCAUUUCCAUGACCUUACACCUAUCAAAAAGGCACUAUUACCAGGCUUAUAGAAUUCUAAAAAAGUUGGAAACCAUUUUCCAUUAUAAAAGAAAUUCUUCCAAAUCACACAAAACACUCUGACACUUCUCCAGUUCCCCCUUU
rnacentral:lncRNA from 1 species